AGCGAACGCUGGCGGCGUGCUUAACACAUGCAAGUCGAGUGCGCGUUUCGUAGCAAUACGGGAUGGCGCACGGCGCACGGGUGAGGAACACGUGGGCAACAUGCCCUCUGAUGGGGAAUAACCCCGCGAAAGCGGGCUAAUACCGCAUAAGAUUCCGGGGACCUCGGUCCCUGGACUGAAAGCCCGCAAGGGCGUCGGAGGAGCGGCCCGCGGCCGAUUAGCUUGUUGGCGGGGUAACGGCCCACCAAGGCAAUGAUCGGUAGCCGGUCUGAGAGGAUGAUCGGCCACACUGGAACUGAGACACGGUCCAGACUCCUACGGGAGGCAGCAGUGGGAAUAUUGGACAAUGGGCGCAAGCCUGAUCCAAGCCAUGCCGCGUGUGUGAAGAAGG
rnacentral:rRNA from 1 species